rnacentral:lncRNA from 1 species
UCCCAUAGGUGUUUUAUUGGGGGGGUUGGUCCCGCAUAGGGUUAUUGUGGGGGGUGGUCCCCCAUAGGGUUUUAUUGGGGGUUGUGUCCCGCAUAGGGUUUAUUGGGGGGGUUGGUCCCCAUAGGGUUUUAUUGGGGGGUUGGUCCCCAUAGGGUUUUAUUGGGGGGUUGGUCCCCAUAGGGUUUUAUUGGGGGGGUUGGUCCCCAUAGGGUUUUAUUGGGGGGGGUUGGUCCCCAUAGGGUUUUAUUGGGGGGGGGUCGGUCCCCAUAGGGUUUUAUUGGGGGGGUUGGUCCCCAUAGGGUUUUAUGUUGAGGGGGGGGGUUGUCCCCAUAAGGGUUUUAAUUGAGGGGGGGUUUGUGCCCGCAUUAGGGUUUUAGUUGAGGGGGGUGUGGUCCCAAGUUUUAUUGCGGGGGUUGGUCCCAUAGGUGGUUUGUAUUGGG